CGAUUGACGUUACCCGCAGAAGAAGCACCGGCUAACUCCGUGCCAGCAGCCGCGGUAAUACGGAGGGUGCAAGCGUUAAUCGGAAUUACUGGGCGUAAAGCGCACGCAGGCGGUCUGUCAAGUCGGAUGUGAAAUCCCCGGGCUCAACCUGGGAACUGCAUUCGAAACUGGCAGGCUAGAGUCUUGUAGAGGGGGGUAGAAUUCCAGGUGUAGCGGUGAAAUGCGUAGAGAUCUGGAGGAAUACCGGUGGCGAAGGCGGCCCCCUGGACAAAGACUGACGCUCAG
rnacentral:rRNA from 1 species